rnacentral:RNase_P_RNA from 1 species
UGAGCCGUUCGGGUGACCGCGGCUCGGGACUCGUUCCCGGGUCGAGGAAGGUCGGGACUCCGCAGGGCAGGGUGCUGGCGUGAGCCAGGUCGGAGCGAUCUGACGGUACAGGGCAACAGAGAGCAGACCGCCGAUGGCGUUCCUCCGGGAACGCACAGGUGAGGGUGAAACGGUGCGGUAAGAGCGCACCAGCGUCGGGGGUGACUCCGGCGGCUGGGUAACCCCCACCCGGGAGCAAGGCCGAGCAGAGGGCACGGGCAGCCCGUCCGUCCGGGCAACCGGACACCCUCGGGUAGGCCGCAAAGAUGGAUGGUCACCGAACCGGACCCCCGCAAGGGACCGGGGAACAGAAUCCCGCCUACAGGACGGCUCACCGG